rnacentral:rRNA from 1 species
GAUGAACGCUGGCGGCGUGCCUAAUACAUGCAAGUCGAGCGAACAGACGAGGAGCUUGCUCCUCUGACGUUAGCGGCGGACGGGUGAGUAACACGUGGAUAACCUACCUAUAAGACUGGGAUAACUUCGGGAAACCGGAGCUAAUACCGGAUAAAAUGUUGAACCGCAUGGUUUAACAGUGAAAGACGGUCUUGCUGUCACUUAUAGAUGGAUCCGCGCCGCAUUAGCUAGUUGGUAAGGUAACGGCUUACCAAGGCAACGAUGCGUAGCCGACCUGAGAGGGUGAUCGGCCACACUGGAACUGAGACACGGUCCAGACUCCUACGGGAGGCAGCAGUAGGGAAUCUUCCGCAAUGGGCGAAAGCCUGACGGAGCAACGCCGCGUGAGUGAAGAAGGUCUUCGGAUCGUAAAACUCUGUUAUUAGGGAAGAACAAAUGUGUAAGUAACUAUGCACGUCUUGACGGUACCUAAUCAGAAAGCCACGGCUAACUACGUG